rnacentral:pre_miRNA from 1 species
AAUUUCAACUAAAAAAGUUAUGAAUAUAAAAGUUGUAGAACUCAUCAAGAGCUACAACUUUUAUUUUGGUCAUUUCUUCAUCCGACCAAGUGAUAGUAAUAUUGUUUAUAAAAUUUGCAUAUCUCUCUUAUAUCUUAUGAAACCAUAUACAAGAUAUGUAAAUUUUGUAAACAAUGUUACUAUCGCUUUGUCGGAUGAAAAAAUAACUAAAAUAAAAGUUGUAGAUCUUGAUAAGUUAUACAACUUUGUUGUUGAUGACUUUUUCAGUUGAAAUC